UUAGUUUGAUACAAAGGAUUUUGAAAGUCUUUUAAGAUAGAAUACUCUAUCGACUAAA
rnacentral:tRNA from 1 species